rnacentral:rRNA from 1 species
UACGUAGGUGACAAGCGUUGUCCGGAUUUACUGGGCGUAAAGAGCUCGUAGGCGGUCUGUCGCGUCUGCUGUGAAAACUCAGGGCUUAACCCUGAGCUUGCAGUGGGUACGGGCAGACUAGAGUGUGGUAGGGGAGACUGGAAUUCCUGGUGUAGCGGUGAGAUGCGCAGAUAUCAGGAGGAACACCGAUGGCGAAGGCAGGUCUCUGGGCCACUACUGACGCUGAGAAGCGAAAGCAUGGGGAGCGAACAGG